GAGAGAAGGCGACAUUUUCAGGAGGCAAAGUCCACAGAUUCAAUUAAGUCAUCUAAGAGCUCCUUUGGCAAAUGGGAAGCUUCAUUCCCCCCCACUGUGUCAACUUGGGUAGGAUUUCUCCAAACGUGGCGCCGAAAAAGUCAAUCGAUGCUGCGAUCGCUGCAAAAUGGCAGGUGACAUCCUUCGAAGGGGAGGUGUGACAACGGAUCCCACACCACCGGUGACAUCCGCGGCAUCCCGACACGUCCAGAAACUAACUGCUACGCUCCAUGCAUGUUUUUGGAAUGUGGGAGGAAGCCAGAGAAGCGGGAGCAAUCAAUUUCUUUUCUCCUUUUGGCAGCAGGUCACUAAAUCAUGUGGAUCAUAUUUACAUGGUUGGGUUAAAACUGGGUACUGUUUAGAGGCCCCAGUGUGGUCCACUGAUGUGGAUCGGGUAUCAUGAAUUGAUACCCGAGCUCUGAUCAAUGAGGAUGCUCUGCAGCACGCAGUUCUUUGUUUACUUGAGUCUUAGCAUUAUUUUUCCAUUCAGUCAUUUCACUAAGUGCCUUAAUAGGGAUUUUUAAUGUGGUAGAAAAAAAUGGAAAUAUGCUCAAAAGAAAAUGAAAAGCAUCAGUGUGGAUUUUCAAGUGUUUUAGCCAAGCCAGGAGAUUUGAGCCUGGAGGC